AUGCAGGUGAUGGGAAGUCAGAGACAAGUCUUACCCGGAGCUAGCUCCGAUCACCAAGUUGGUGGUUACUGUGGCACCAUCCACCCCCAACUCGCCCAUCGCGAUCUGAGGAAAAAUGGAAACAAGGAAGGAUGGAAAGCUGAAAACACAAAGCUCCGAGUCCCCACCCACGCUUCAAUCAAAGGAGAUCAUUACUCCAAACUAUGUGUAUGGACAAGGAGGAGCCCUGGUGAAGAGGAGAAGAACGGAGCAUUCCGAAAUGUAAUGACGUAUACUUUAUCAGCCACGACUUGCACAGUGAAAGAAGCAAAGUCAAAAAAUUGUGACACCCUUCCUUUCUGCUGUAGACCCUGCUGGUUGCGUCGAAAUGGGCAGGUUCAUGAAACCGGGAAAGUGGUGCUGGUCCUGGCCGGACGCUACUCCGGACGGAAAGCCGUCGUGGUGAAGAACAUUAAUGAUGGCACUUCAGACCGUCCCUACAGCCAUGCUCUGGUGGCUGGAAUUGACCGCUAUCCCCGCAAAGUGACAGCUGCCAUGGACAAGAAGAAGAUUGCCAAGCGAUCAAAGAUCAAGUCUUUUGUGAAAGUUUAUAACUACAAUCACCUCAUGCCCACAAGGUACUCUGUGGAUAUACCCUUGGACAAAACUGUUGUCAACAAGGAUGUCUUCAUAGACCCUGCUCUUAAACGCAAGGCCCGACGGGAGGCCAAGGUCAAGUUUGAAGAGAGGUACAAGAUGGGCAAGAAUAAGUGGUUCUUCCAGAAGCUGCGGUUUUAAGCGUUUUUUGUUUUGGUCAUUAAAAAUAUUAAAAAAAA